AAAACAAAAACAGUUCUUCUCAAGUAUUCUUCAUGUUUUACAGGGAACCCCGACAUUCCGAAGCCUCUCCGCAUCCUCCGCUCGUCAUGGGGCAGUAACCCAUACAUCCGCGGCUCGUACUCCUUCACCAGAGUGGGAUCCAGUGGUGGCGACUGCGAGCGACUGGCCAUGCCACUGCCUUAUGCCAACAGCACCAAGGCCACGCCAUUACAGGUCCUUUUCGCUGGAGAGGCCACCCACCGCAAAUACUAUUCCACUACCCAUGGUGCUUUGCUGUCAGGCCAGAGGGAAGCAAACCGCCUGAUAGAGAGGUACCAGGACUUGCACAAUGCCGAAACCACAAAGCCUGAAGUGUAAAGAAAUAUAAUAAAAGGAACCUCACCUCAGACUAGUAAACAUGUUUAAACUUUAAAGCAAUGAUUAUUAUGUCAUAGCUCGGGCAUUACAUUCUUGGUCUCGUACUGUAGUUUUUAAUCAUGUGAUGUGUGUAUUUUUAUUUGGAGAUAUACUGUUCUUAUGUUGCCAACGGUGCUGUCAUUUCAUGUCUUUAUCAUCAUCAUGUUGUUUUGAAUCAGUAAUUUAUGUUUUAAUAAUAACACUAUCUGUAAUAACUUUAUUUGUUUUGUAAGUGCCUUCUGCCCCUGUUUGAUGUUAUUUUCAAUGCUAUGCAGUUUUAACAAAAUUAAAUCUAUAUCAUGUUCUAA